rnacentral:lncRNA from 1 species
UCCGCCCCCGGCCGCCAUUUUGGAUUUGGCCCCGCCCCCUUUUUGAGGCCCGGUUUCGUUUUAAGGCGAAAACGAACAAUUUUGGUUAAAAAAAACACCACCAAAAUUCCUUUUUUUCCCCUUUUUUCCCUUUUUUUCUUUUUUUUCUCCUUUUUUCUCCUUUUUUUCUCCUUUUUUCUCCUUUUUUUCUCCUUUUUUCUCCUUUUUUUCUCCUUUUUUCUCCUUUUUUUCUCCUUUUUUCUCCUUUUUUUCUCCUUUUUUCUCCUUUUUUUCUCCUUUUUUCUCCUUUUUUUCUCCUUUUUUCUCCUUUUUUUCUCCUUUUUUCUCCUUUUUUUCUCCUUUUUUCUCCUUUUUUUCCCUUUUUUCUCUUUUUUCUCCUUUUUUUCUCUUUUUUCUCCUUUUUUCUCCUUUUUUCUCUUUUUUUUCUCCUUUUUUUUUCUCUUUUUUCCCUUUUUUUUCUGUCCCCAUUCACAUUUUGGGGUGAAAACGGUGAAUUUUGGGAGCCCUGCGAUAACUCCUCAAUUCUGGGGGAAAAUCCCUCAUUUUCGGGGCUGUUUUUACCUUUUCUGACAGUUUUGCCCCAAACUGCAGUUUUUUACACUCUCAAAAUCCCCAUUUUUAACCCCAAAUAUACAUUUUUGAUACUCAAAAUCCCCAUUUUUACCCCCAGAUCCCCAUUUUUUACACUCAAAAAUCCCCAUUUUGCCACAAAUUCCCAUUUCUCAGUCCCCAAAAUCCCCAUUUUGCCCCCAAGCCCCAUUUUAUUAUUCUCAAAAAUCCC